CUACGGGGGGCAGCAGUAGGGAAUAUUGGACAAUGGGCGAAAGCCUGAUCCAGCAACACCGCGUGCACGAUGACGGCCUUCGGGUUGUAAAGUGCUUUUAGAGGAGAUGAGAAAGGACAGUAUCCUCCGAAUAAGCCUCGGCGAACUACGUGCCAGCAGCCGCGGUGAAACGUAGGAGGCAAGCGUUAUCCGGAUUUAUUGGGCGUAAAGCGCGUGCAGGCGGUCUAGCAAGUUGGAUGUGAAAGCUCCCGGCUCAACUGGGAGAGGUCGUUCAAUACUGUUAGACUAGAGAAUAGGAGAGGGAGGUGGAAUUCCGGGUGUAGUGGUGAAAUGCGUAGAUAUCCGGAGGAACACCAGUGGCGAAAGCGGCCUCCUGGACUAUUUCUGACGCUAAGACGCGAAAGCUAGGGUAGCAAACGGGAUUAGAUACCCGUGUAGUC
rnacentral:rRNA from 1 species